UACGAAGGGGGCUAGCGUUGUUCGGAAUUACUGGGCGUAAAGCGCACGUAGGCGGAUAUUUAAGUCAGGGGUGAAAUCCCGGGGCUCAACCCCGGAACUGCCUUUGAUACUGGGUAUCUAGAGUCCGGAAGAGGUGAGUGGAAUUCCGAGUGUAGAGGUGAAAUUCGUAGAUAUUCGGAGGAACACCAGUGGCGAAGGCGGCUCACUGGUCCGGUACUGACGCUGAGGUGCGAAAGCGUGGGGAGCAAACAGG
rnacentral:rRNA from 1 species